AGCUUUGCGCAGUGGCAGUAUCGUAGCCAAUGAGGUUUAUCCGAGGCGCCAUUAUUGCUAAAAAUACCAUUGAAAGCUGUCUUUUCAACAGAAACAAUAAAAGGCAGAAUGCC
rnacentral:snRNA from 2 species